UGGGGAAUUUUGGACAAUGGGGGCAGCCCUGAUCCAGCAAUGCCGCGUGUGUGAAGAAGGCCUUCGGGUUGUAAAGCACUUUUGUCCGGAAAGAAAACUUCGGGGCUAAUACCCCUGGAGGAUGACGGUACCGGAAGAAUAAGCACCGGCUAACUACGUGCCAGCAGCCGCGGUAAUACGUAGGGUGCGAGCGUUAAUCGGAAUUACUGGGCGUAAAGCGUGCGCAGGCGGUGCUGUAAGACCGAUGUGAAAUCCCCGGGCUUAACCUGGGAACUGCAUUGGUGACUGCAGCGCUGGAGUAUGGCAGAGGGGGGUGGAAUUCCACGUGUAGCAGUGAAAUGCGUAGAGAUGUGGAGGAACACCGAUGGCGAAGGCAGCCCCCUGGGCCAAUACUGACGCUCAUGCACGAAAGCGUGGGGAGCAAACAGG
rnacentral:rRNA from 1 species